rnacentral:rRNA from 1 species
GACGAACGCUGGCGGCGUGCUUAACACAUGCAAGUCGAACGGAAAGGCCCUGCUUUUGUGGUGUGCUCGAGUGGCGAACGGGUGAGUAACACGUGAGUAACCUGCCCUUGACUUUGGUAUAACUUCAGGAAACUGGGGCUAAUACCGGAUAGGAGCUCCUGCUGCAUGGUGGGGGUUGGAAAGUUUCGGCGGUUGGGGAUGGACUCGCGGCUUAUCAGCUUGUUGGUGGGGUAGUGGCUUACCAAGGCUUUGACGGGUAGCCGGCCUGAGAGGGGGAACGGCCACAUUGGGACUGAGAUACGGCCCAGACUCCUACGGGAGGCAGCAGUGGGGAAUAUUGCACAAUGGGCGGAAGCCUGAGGCAGCAACGCCGCGUGCGGGAUGACGGCCUGCGGGUUGUAAACCGCUUUCGCCUGUGACGAAGCGUGAGUGACGGUAAUGGGUAAAGAAGCACCGGCUAACUACGUG